rnacentral:rRNA from 1 species
AGAGUUUGAUCAUGGCUCAGGACGAACGCUGGCGGCGUGCCUAAUACAUGCAAGUCGAACGAACUCUGGUAUUGAUUGGUGCUUGCAUCAUGAUUUACAUUUGAGUGAGUGGCGAACUGGUGAGUAACACGUGGGAAACCUGCCCAGAAGCGGGGGAUAACACCUGGAAACAGAUGCUAAUACCGCAUAACAACUUGGACCGCAUGGUCCGAGUUUGAAAGAUGGCUUCGGCUAUCACUUUUGGAUGGUCCCGCGGCGUAUUAGCUAGAUGGUGGGGUAACGGCUCACCAUGGCAAUGAUACGUAGCCGACCUGAGAGGGUAAUCGGCCACAUUGGGACUGAGACACGGCCCAAACUCCUACGGGAGGCAGCAGUAGGGAAUCUUCCACAAUGGCGAAAGUCUGAUGGAGCAACGCCGCGUGAGUGAAGAAGGGUUUCGGCUCGUAAAACUCUGUUGUUAAAGAAGAACAUAUCUGAGAGUAACUGUUCAGGUAUUGACGGUAUUUAACCAGAAAGCCACGGCUAACUACGUGCCAGCAGCCGCGGUAAUACGUAGGUGGCAAGCGUUGUCCGGAUUUAUUGGGCGUAAAGCGAGCGCAGGCGGUUUUUUAAGUCUGAUGUGAAAGCCUUCGGCUCAACCGAAGAAGUGCAUCGGAAACUGGGAAACUUGAGUGCAGAAGAGGACAGUGGAACUCCAUGUGUAGCGGUGAAAUGCGUAGAUAUAUGGAAGAACACCAGUGGCGAAGGCGGCUGUCUGGUCUGUAACUGACGCUGAGGCUCGAAAGUAUGGGUAGCAAACAGGAUUAGAUACCCUGGUAGUCCAUACCGUAAACGAUGAAUGCUAAGUGUUGGAGGGUUUCCGCCCUUCAGUGCUGCAGCUAACGCAUUAAGCAUUCCGCCUGGGGAGUACGGCCGCAAGGCUGAAACUCAAAGGAAUUGACGGGGGCCCGCACAAGCGGUGGAGCAUGUGGUUUAAUUCGAAGCUACGCGAAGAACCUUACCAGGUCUUGACAUACUAUGCAAAUCUAAGAGAUUAGACGUUCCCUUCGGGGACAUGGAUACAGGUGGUGCAUGGUUGUCGUCAGCUCGUGUCGUGAGAUGUUGGGUUAAGUCCCGCAACGAGCGCAACCCUUAUUAUCAGUUGCCAGCAUUAAGUUGGGCACUCUGGUGAGACUGCCGGUGACAAACCGGAGGAAGGUGGGGAUGACGUCAAAUCAUCAUGCCCCUUAUGACCUGGGCUACACACGUGCUACAAUGGAUGGUACAACGAGUUGCGAACUCGCGAGAGUAAGCUAAUCUCUUAAAGCCAUUCUCAGUUCGGAUUGUAGGCUGCAACUCGCCUACAUGAAGUCGGAAUCGCUAGUAAUCGCGGAUCAGCAUGCCGCGGUGAAUACGUUCCCGGGCCUUGUACACACCGCCCGUCACACCAUGAGAGUUUGUAACACCCAAAGUCGGUGGGGUAACCUUUUAGGAACCAGCCGCCUAAGGUGGGACAGAUGAUUAGGGUGAAGUCGUAACAAGGUAGCCGUAGGAGAACCUGCGGUUGGAU